AGCGAACGCUGGCGGCAGGCUUAACACAUGCAAGUCGAACGGACCUUUCGGGGUUAGUGGCGGACGGGUGAGUAACACGUGGGAACGUGCCUUUAGGUUCGGGAUAGCUCCUGGAAACGGGUGGUAAUGCCGAAUGUGCCCUUAGGGGGAAAGAUUUAUCGCCUUUAGAGCGGCCCGCGUCUGAUUAGCUAGUUGGUGAGGUAAUGGCUCACCAAGGCUACGAUCAGUAGCUGGUCUGAGAGGAUGACCAGCCACAUUGGGACUGAGACACGGCCCAAACUCCUACGGGAGGCAGCAGUGGGGAAUCUUGCGCAAUGGGCGAAAGCCUGACGCAGCCAUGCCGCGUGGAUGAUGAAGGUCUUAGGAUUGUAAAAUCCUUUCACCGGUGAAGAUAAUGACUGUAGCCGGAGAAGAAGCCCCGGCUAACUUCGUGCCAGCCGCCGCCGUAAAAC
rnacentral:rRNA from 1 species